CCUACGGGGGGCAGCAGUGGGGAAUAUUGCACAAUGGGGGAAACCCUGAUGCAGCGACGCCGCGUGAGUGAAGAAGUAAUUCGUUAUGUAAAGCUCUAUCAGCAGGGAAGAAACUGACGGUACCUGAUUAAGAAGCCCCGGCUAACUACGUGCCAGCAGCCGCGGUAAUACGUAGGGGGCAAGCGUUAUCCGGAUUUACUGGGUGUAAAGGGAGCGUAGACGGCGAUGCAAGUCUGAAGUGAAAGGCCGGGGCUCAACCCCCGGACUGCUCUUGAACCUGUGCGGCUGGAGUGCAGGAGAGGUAAGCGGAAUUCCUGGUGUAGCGGUGAAAUGCGUAGAUAUCAGGAGGAACACCAGUGGCGAAGGCGGCUUACUGGACUGUAACUGACGUUGAGGCUCGAAAGCGUGGGGAGCAAACAGGAUUAGAUACCCGAGUAGUC
rnacentral:rRNA from 1 species